rnacentral:lncRNA from 10 species
GGAGGUCAGAGUGCUGCAAUCUGAGAACUCAACCUGGCUUUGAACACAGAAGAAGGAAACUUUGAACAAAGAAGAAGGAAUCCAGGAAUGUGAGCCGCCUCAGAAAGCCAAAAAAGGGCUUGCCCCAAGGGAGACCUCAGCUUGUAGAUGGAGGGAGGUCUUGCUAGCAGUUACCAGAAUAAGAGAAACUGCCAUGGUAAUUAACAACCUGCUGCUGUGGGAAUCCAAAUAGAGUCAGAGCAACGUGUUUACAAUGCUUGGAGACAUAAUAGUGAGAUCAUGUCCCUGGUAGCAGGAACCAGGCUUCACCCUUCAUUGCGUUUAAAGAGACCACGUAGAAAAGUGAUUAUGGCCAGCGACUCUGAAGCCAAACUGCCUGGGUUCAAAUCUCAGCUUUGCCAUUGACUUACUAGCUCUGUAACCUUGGACAAUCUACUUAGUUUCUCUGUGCUCCAGUUUCCCCAUGUGUAAAAUCUUUCACUAAAGUGAAGGAGGGCUAAUGAAGAUAAAAAAGUUGUUCCCCUCAUGAUGGCCAGGCAGGAGGAGGAAGA